UACGUAGGGACCGAGCGUUGUCCGGAAUCAUUGGGCGUAAAGAGCGUGUAGGCGGCUUGUUAAGUCUUGCGUGAAAUCUCGGGGCUCAACUCCGAGCGGUCGUGGGAAACUGGGCGGCUAGAGUGCGGGAGAGGAGAGUGGAAUUCCUGGUGUAGCGGUGGAAUGCGCAGAUAUCAGGAAGAACACCCGUGGCGAAGGCGGCUCUCUGGAACGCAACUGACGCUGAGACGCGAAAGCGUGGGGAGCAAACAGG
rnacentral:rRNA from 1 species